GACGAACGCUGGCGGCGUGCUUAACACAUGCAAGUCGAACGAUGAAGAAGAGAAACGCGAACUUCGGUUCAAAUUUCACUUCGGAUUAGUGGCAGACGGGUGAGUAACGCGUGAGCAACCUACCUCUUACAAAGGGAUAGCCUCGGGAAACCGUGAUUAAUACCAUAUGACACAUUCAUAAGGCAUCUUAAGAAUGUUAAAGCUACGGCGGUAAGAGAUGGGCUCGCGUCCCAUUAGCUAGUUGGUGAGGUAACGGCCCACAAGGCGACGAUGGGUAACCGGCCUGAGAGGGUGAACGGUCACAUUGGAACUGAGACACGGUCCAAACUCCUACGGGAGGCAGCAGUGGGGAAUAUUGCACAAUGGAGGGAACUCUGAUGCAGCGACGCCGCGUGAGCGAUGAAGGAAUUCGUUUCGUAAAGCUCUGUUCUAUGGGAAGAAAAGGACUGUACCAUAGGAGAAAGCCCCGGCUAAAUACGUG
rnacentral:rRNA from 1 species